GGGGUCGUCGUCUAGCCUGGUCAGGACAUCGGGCUGUCAAUCCGAAAAUCGCGGGUUCGAAUCCCGUCGACCCCG
rnacentral:tRNA from 1 species